UUUAACAAUCGGUCUAUUAUUAAAUCAAAAAGAAUCGAUUGUUGAUUUUACAAUAUUUUCCUAUUGAAUCAACAAUAUGAUUGUAAUUUUAACAAUAUUCGUGAUUGAUCAGAGCUUGUUUAAAUUAUAUUAAGCGUGUAUUUUUUAACGCGUAUUUUUUUUCUUUGGAGGAAAAAUUGUUUUUAAAAAUAGAAAGAAAGUGAGAGCAAAUUAAUAAAACUAAGUGAAAUAUAAUUGAGGCUAGGAUGAGGAGUCCACAAUUUAUUGACUAUACACGGCGAAAUAUGCACAUAUAGAAAUUUGAAUUGUGGGCGGAAACAUUCGGGGGAAGUUAUUCCUGCUUUUCCGGCAUCGAAAAGUAAAGGGUUUUCUUCAAUGACAUGAACUUAACCCAAAUAACAGCAUUGCAGCAAAUUCCAAGGCAAAUUCGCAAUGCCAUAUUAUAUUGACUGUUUCCUUGAUAACAAAACGCGCCGACCAUUUUUUAAGCACCUUCAAAAUCGUCGCCAACUUCAUUAUUCUAAAACUGUGUUAGUUUUAUUAGUAAAUCAUGUUAAUCUGCAUGAAAAUCGGGCCCAAUUUUGGGAAUAAAUGUGAUUAUUGAGUUUGCAAAAUUUUGUUCACAGUUGAUUUGACAGAUCUUAUGGUCAUUUCUGCUGGCGACGAUUUUGGCGUCAAUUUGCUUUGCGACGAUUUCAAAUCGUCGCGGCCGAUAAGGUGGGAAAUUGAUAAUAUAAUAUGAACGAUAAUAUGAAUACCUGAAACACCCUGAAACUAAAGCC